ensembl:snoRNA SNORA54 small nucleolar RNA, H/ACA box 54
GAGCACUGUUCGUUAACCUGUUAGCCUGGCUGUAGCUAAUGGGUUCCAUUCCGGUGCAAUAGCAUUUCCAGCGACACAUGACUGACUGACUGGUGGCUUUCAGUUUCAGGUCUUGGAGACAAAU